UUUGUAGUCAGAAGCCUGGUGCUGGUUUCACAAUGCCCGGUGCUCAACCGGCUCUUUCACUCCCACAUCUAUCUGGCUCUCAGUUUCUUCAUUUGGCAGACGGGUGCUUCUCAGCUGCACAACAGAUGUAGGACUCUCAGCUCCUCCAGCCCGUGCCUGCCUGGAUGCUGCAGUACUCCCGCCGUGAUGAUCAUGAACGCUGAAAUGGACCUCAAAACUGUAACAUGUGAGGUGCAUGCGACAGUGAUGCCAGCAGACAGCCCGUGGGAUCCGUUCUUAGAUCUCUACUUCCACCAUGUGGCUUCCAAGGAUGGGACUCAGGUCUCCAUGAUUGUACGAAGUUUACCUCUCUAGUUGGUGGUGUAAGUCUAGGAGAGUGGAGCCUAAAAAUGAGGUGGACUAAAGACUUAUGCAACAGCUAACACUACUCAGAGCACCAGGCACUUUACAGUCUUAAGGUUCAGAAGAUUAUCGUGAUAAGGUGUGUGAUCACCAGGACAAGCCACGUGUGACUGAAGCAUGUUUUCCCACAGAGGCACAUGAAUAGCAACAGCUGAAGUAAACUCAUUCCUGUCUGCUAUGCCUGGGGGGAGGGGCGCACAGAAACACAUUCCAAGAACAGUUCUAUGUUUUGAAGACACUGAGAUGAGUCUUCUCACAAGCACUCAGAAUUCCUCACUCAUGACGCUGUGCUUGAACAGUGUUCCGACGGUAUAGCAAGGGCCUCCGUCCACAGAACCAUGCCCCUGGUCCCUGCCCCUCUAAGAAGAAAUGUAAUUUAAGGGUUGGCUUCUUGUGAGCGUAUCGAGGGUAAGCUGUGGGUCUCAGGCUCUAAUCGAUGGUGGACUUAACUCUGUCUUCAGCUGGGCGUGGUGGUGCACAAUUGCAAUUCCAACAUCAGCAGGCAAAGACAGUUUGUCGACAAGUUCAAGUCCAGCCUGGUCUACGUAAAGACUCCAAAUUAAUCAGUGCUACAUAACGAGACCCUGUCUAUAAACAAACAAACGAAUAAAUUCUGGCUCUGACUCUCUGAGAGACAGUGACGAGCCAGGUCCCAGAGCCACUCAGCCACCACAUUGGUGCAGUGUGUGUGGGAAGGUCCAGGGGUCAGGCACUCAGCAGGGCUGGCCACGUGUAUCCUGUACCUGACAGAAGGUGAGAGUUAAGGUUGGCAAGACUCAGAGUCAUUAAAUGUCAGCCAGA